rnacentral:rRNA from 1 species
UACGUAGGGUGCGAGCGUUGUCCGGAAUUAUUGGGCGUAAAGAGCUUGUAGGCGGUUUGUUGCGUCUGCUGUGAAAAUCCGGGGCUCAACCCCGGACUUGCAGUGGGUACGGGCAGACUAGAGUGUGGUAGGGGAGACUGGAAUUCCUGGUGUAGCGGUGGAAUGCGCAGAUAUCAGGAGGAACACCGAUGGCGAAGGCAGGUCUCUGGGCCACUACUGACGCUGAGAAGCGAAAGCAUGGGGAGCGAACAGG